CCUUGCACAUCUCACCCAGGAGAGGAAGGUUACCUCCAUGACCAACAACAAUAGGGAAAGAUUCCUGGCGGCUGAAUCAUGGGGCAAGGCCAUGGUAAGGAGGGGCUGGCCAGGUGUCAGACAGAGGUGCCCAGUGGGACAAGCCUCUGCUGUGGUUCACAGGACUGAGGUCUCUGCUAACAGCCCCAGGGGGUCCCUCGGGGUGUCCCAUUGCACCUGGUGGGGUGCCAGCACACACGGGGCGCUCCCCAUACCAGGGAGGCUGUGGGAGGGCUGGGGGUGUCCUGGCAGCGGUGUCACCGGUUGUGCCAGUGUGAGUCAUGCCCAGAGCUGGGCUGAGUCACCUCCACAGUGGUGUGAGCGUCGGGGGAGGAGGUUUCACAGACCCACAUCCCCGUGACGUCGGCAGCCUCUCCGUAACAGGCACCUCUGUGCCACGCUGGGCAUGCAGACUCCACGGGCGAGGCUUGCCUGUGGCUGGUGUCGCUGGCUGAAGCUUUUCGAAAAAAAUAUCCUUUCUCUAACCACAGGUCCAAGCUGCCCAUCAUGCCUGCAGGUGGCAGAACAGCUCCAGCACACCCAUCCCUCGCCACAGCCCCCGGUGCGGCAGCGUAGCGUGGGGACAGAUGGACGGGCCGUGGUGGGAUGAGCCCUGCCCUGCACCUGCUGCUGUCUCUGGCCAGCUGCUCCCUCCUCUGGGGACCUCGAGCUGGAUCAAGGCAGAUGCCUGCAGGGGGAACAGCACUGGCUCCUGGGAGUGUGAGUUGUAUUUUGACAGGAUCCACGAUAUCUACUGGGCGCGGGUGAGAGCGGUGGCCGGAGGAGAGCAGUCUGAGUGGGCCAGUUCCAGCGAGCUGCAGCUGUACAGAGACACAAUUGUGGGGCCCCCCAAGUUGUCCUGGCUGCUCCAGGAUCAAAUCCUCCACGUAAACAUUGCCACGCCACUCACUCCCUACCAGAGAAGAACUGGUUCCUACAAGCCAGUGGACCGAGUGCUGCUGAAACUGUGGUACUGGCUGCACCUGUACGAGGGGGACCUGCUUGUGCAGCAGGUGUGUGGCAGCUGGGCAGGGCUUGGAGCGUGUGGGGCUUGCAUGAGAUUUCCUGGGGCAGCAAAGCUGCUGUCUUGGGUUGCCUCAGUGUGGGGGUGCCUGUACCCCAGCCCUGCCCACACCUGGCUGCUCCCCCAGUCUGGGGCUCGCACCCCAGCAAGGCAGGAGACCCCUUUCCUCCCUCAGUCUGCAUGGGUAAGGAGAACCUGUGACGGGUUCUGUUCAGAUGAAAGGUGAUGCCAUGGUGGUUCCGGAAGGCGCUCUGGGACCUGAACACCUUCUGGGGCGAAGAGCCAAGCACUGGAGGUGCCAGGGAACAGGGGCUGUGGAGCAAGUGGGACACUGAGGCUGCGCUGGGCAGUGGAGCCAUGCACAGCCACUGUGGUCACCUGUCCCAUCGACUUCCAGGUGCCCUGCAAACGGAGCAGCGAGGACGUGCCGUGCACCUUCGGGCCCCUGAAGCCCAGCACACGGUACUGUGUCCGGACGGCAGCCGCUGGCAUGGCCAGGGAGAGGAGCCGGGAGGCCGAGCAGUGCCUGGUGACUCCGGCAGGGCCCCCAGGUGGGAGGAGCACUCUCGCCAGCUCAGCCGGCGCGGUUGCAUCUCGGGUCCUGCAGUCUCGCGUGUGGGUCCCUCACCCCCAGCCAUUGUGAUCAGGGUUGUGACCUAGCACUGCCCUGUGGGAACCUCUCAGGGUGAUGCUGUCUCACCCUCUGCCUUGGGCUUGCCUCCUGGAACAUCCCAGCCUGCCACGGGGGCUCCAGGGGAAACACUGGCACAGGGUGGGCUGGGAGGGAUGUGCUGGUGUCUUUCCACCUGUCGGUCUGCUGUGACCUCCCAACAGGCUUUCCCUGGGUCCCUGCCGUGCUGAGUGCCUUCUUUGUGCUGCUGCUGCUGAGUGCGGCCGGGUUCUGCUUCUUCCAGCUGCACAUAUUCCUUAAACCCUCGGAGAUGCACCUCCCAAAACCACUGGUGAGUGACGAUCCUCCUCCAGCCUCUGCCCCAUGUGUGCUGCAGCCGAGCUGGGAUACCCUCUGUUUGCAGGGGCUCAGCACCUCCUUCCCUCCACCUCUCGCCCCACCAAGCCCAUCUUGGUAGCCAGGUGCCUCCUCUGCUGUCCAAACCACUGUACCCCAAUGGGAAGGUACAGGUGGAGUGCAUCAGCCAGCUGUGGGUCACAGUGCAGGAGGGGUCUCAGCAGCACGGCCCCCACGCUGGCAGGGGUUUCGGCUGGCU
rnacentral:lncRNA from 1 species